ACCUUCGUGGUGUAGUGGUCAGCACUCUCGACGCGUAAGCGAAAGGAUCGUGGUUCGAUUCCCGGAGAAGGUG
rfam:Stegodyphus mimosarum contig2989, whole genome shotgun sequence.